GACGUAGGGCGCGAGCGUUGUCCGGAUUUAUUGGGCGUAAAGGGCGCGUAGGCGGCCAUCUAAGUCGAACGUGAAAUCCCCGGGCUCAACCCGGGAACUGCGUCCGAUACUGGUUGGCUUGAAUCCGGGAGAGGGAUGCGGAAUUCCAGGUGUAGCGGUGAAAUGCGUAGAUAUCUGGAGGAACACCGGUGGCGAAGGCGGCAUCCUGGACCGGCAUUGACGCUGAGGCGCGAAAGCCAGGGGAGCCAAAGCGGG
rnacentral:rRNA from 1 species